rnacentral:tRNA from 1 species
AUUUAUAUAGUAUAAAAUUAUAUUUGACUUCCAAUCAAAAGAUCUAGCUUCUAGUAUAAAUA